GCGAUAGCUAAUUGCACUAACGAAUAGUUGAUGCAAUAUCGACUCUGUCGAAUAAAAUUCUAGGUAGAAUUAUGAUAAUGACAUUGUUUGCCUAUGUGUCUUGACCAAAUUACGUGCCAGCAGUCGCGGUAAUACGUAGAAGACUAGUGUUAUUCAUCUUUAAUAGGUUUAAAGGGUACCUAGACGGUAAAUCAAGCCUUCAAGGGGACUAGUUUACUAGAGUUACUUGUGAGGGGGUAUUAAAGUACUGCUGGUGUAGAGAUGAAAUUCUGUGAUACCUCUUUUCGUAAGAAAAAUAAUGGCACAGGUAUAGGCGAAAGCAUCCCCUUAUGUGAUAACUGACGUUG
rnacentral:rRNA from 1 species